rnacentral:lncRNA from 1 species
CAUGAAUUAGGUCCCUUCUUUUAUAUAUAAGGUGCCCCAAAUCUGAUCUAGAGUCCGAACCAAUUUAGGACUCAAAAUCUUAUCCAAAGAAGAUGUAAUAAAGAAAGGAGAGUGCCCAUUAAAGCUUCAUGCGAACACUUUCAUUGUGCACUCCCAUAUGGGGCAAAAAAAAUCAAUUCCUUUCCUCCUUUGGAUGGCCACUAUGAGAGAGAGAGUCCCAGC